rnacentral:rRNA from 1 species
GUAGUCCACGCCCUAAACGAUGUCUACUAGUUGUUGGUGGAGUAAAAUCCUUGAGUAACGCAGCUAACGCGUGAAGUAGACCGCCUGGGGAGUACGGUUGCAAGAUUAAAACUCAAAUGAAUUGACGGGGGCCCGCACAAGCGGUGGAUUAUGUGGAUUAAUUCGAUGCAACGCGAAGAACCUUACCUGGGUUUGACAUGCGCCAGACGCGUCUAGAGAUAGGCGUUCCCUUGUGGUUGGUGUGCAGGUGGUGCAUGGCUGUCGUCAGCUCGUGUCGUGAGAUGUUGGGUUAAGUCCCGCAACGAGCGCAACCCUCGUUCCAUGUUGCCAGCGGGUUAUGCCGGGGACUCAUGGGAGACUGCCGGGGUCAACUCGGAGGAAGGUGGGGAUGACGUCAAGUCAUCAUGCCCCUUAUGUCCAGGGCUUCACACAUGCUACAAUGGCUCAUACAGAGGGCUGCGAGACCGUGAGGUGGAGCGAAUCCCUUAAAGUGGGUCUCAGUUCGGAUCGGGGUCUGCAACUCGACCCCGUGAAGUUGGAGUCGCUAGUAAUCGCAGAUCAGCAAUGCUGCGGUGAAUA